rnacentral:rRNA from 1 species
UACAGAGGUCCCAAGCGUUGUUCGGAUUCACUGGGCGUAAAGGGUGCGUAGGCGGUCGGGUAAGUCUGAUGUGAAAUCUCACAGCUUAACUGUGAAACUGCAUUGGAUACUAUCCGGCUAGAGGAAUGGAGGGGAGACUGGAAUACUUGGUGUAGCAGUGAAAUGCUUAGAGAUGACACAGAACACCGAUUGCGAAGGCAGCCCACUACGCAACUAUUGACGCUGAGGCACGAAAGCGUGGGGAUCAAACAGG